AUAAUUUAUUGUUAUCACGCUGAGUUGCAGAAAGGAACUUUAAGCUAAUGAUGACCUUAAAUGUAUACCUGCCUAGCUUUGACAGUAUACGGACAGAAAGAGACAGACAUAGAUUUAAUGCCGACAUUAGCUUAAAGUGCCUUUCUGCAACUCAGCGUCAGAU